AUACGGAGGAUGCGAGCGUUAUCCGGAUUUAUUGGGUUUAAAGGGUGCGUAGGCGGUCGGGUAAGCGUAGGGUGAAAGUCCUCUGCUCAACAGAGGAAGUGCCUUCCGAACUGUCCGACUGGAAUGCUCCUGCCGUGGGAGGAAUGUGUGGUGUAGCGGUGAAAUGCAUAGAGAUCACACAGAACACCGAUUGCGAAGGCAUCUCACGAAGGGGCUAUUGACGCUGAGGCACGAAAGCGUGGGGAUCAAACAGGAUUAGAUACCCUGGUAGUCCACGCAGUAAACGAUGAUGACUAACCGUCGGUCAAGACUGAUCGGUGGCCAAGCGAAAGCGAUAAGUCAUCCACCUGGGGAGUACGACCGCAAGGUUGAAACUUAAAGGAAUUGGCGGGG
rnacentral:rRNA from 1 species